rnacentral:lncRNA from 1 species
UGACGAAUUAGGAUUUAACGUCCAGUCACAAAUAUCAUAUAAAAAAGAAGAUGUGAUAUGAUUGCCAAUGAGACAACUAUCCACAAAAGACCAAAAUGACACAGACAUUAACAACUAUAGGUCACCGUACGGCGUUCAACAAUGAGCAAAGCCCAUACCGCAUAGUGAGCUAUAAAAGGCCCCGAUAAGACAAUGUAAAACAAUUCAAACGAGAAAACUAACGGCCUUAUUUAUGUAAAAAAAAUAACGAAAAACAAAUAUGUAACACAUAAACAAACGAAAACCACUGAAUUACAGACUCCUGACUUGGGACAGGCACAUACAUAAAUAAUGUGGCGGGA